rnacentral:sRNA from 1 species
GGGAUUACAGGCGCGUGCCACCACGCCCGGCUAAUUUUUUGUAUUUUUUAGUAGAGACGGGGUUUCACCAUGUUAGCCAGGAUGGUCUCGAUCUCCUGACCUCGUGAUCCACCCGCUUCGGCCUCCCAAAGUGCUGGGAUUACAGGCUUGAGCCACCCCGCCCGGCCAUGCCCAUUCUUAAGCCAGUCAUAUUGACUGAGGAGGGGCUGGGCUGAUUGGCCAGGUUCUCUGCUAGAGAUGGUGUGGACUGUACCACACCUAAGGCAGUGGCCCAAGUCUGAGAAUGGAGGGAGAGGACCCUCCCCCUUAGGGACCUGCUGUUGGUCAGCAGCCAGUGAUCUUGGGUGCACUGCAUUUCCUCUCUGGGCCUCAGUGCCUUCAUCUCCAAGCUCAGCUCAGAGCGUGGCGGUGGUGUCUGCUGAUCAUAUUGGUUUAGUCAUCAGCUAUUUAGUCAGUACCUUCUCAGGGGCACAGCUGGGGGCACAGGGGAUGCCUCUCAGUGACGCUGAGCUGAGACUGAAGAGUUCAGGCAAAUGCAUCUGGGGGAAGACUGCUUCAGGCAAAAGGCUAGCGUGUGCAAAGUCCCUGAGGAGGCAGAGUGUUCAGCGGAGAUGGAGGGAGAGGAGGCAGCAGGGGCGGCAGGGCCAGAUCCAAUUGGCCACAGGAAGAAAUGUGGGUUUCAUCCUGUGUGUGAGCGGGAAGCCCCGAGCACAUUUGCAGCUGUUAUGAUCCAUCUGGUGGGUAAUCCCUGGCAUGCAACUGUUUUAUUCCCACUCUGGGGCCGGGAUGCCUGGGUUCAAAUCAAAUUCUUCCACUUCCCAGCUCUGUGAUCUCGUUCCAGUUCCUUACCAUCUGUGAGCCUCGGUUUCUCCAUCUGUAAAGUCGGGGGGGGGGGCAGUCAUUCCGAAGCCCACCUGGAGAUGAGAACUCAAAGGCACCGUGGGGCACCUGGUGGAUGACCCCAGGAAGCUCUUGCGAGGCUUGAGAAUGUGUGGCAGGGAGGGAAGAUGUCCUGCAGGGGGAGCCCAUGAGCAGGUGGCUCCGUGGGCACCUGGGGCUCAGUCCAGAUGCAGCGCAGCCUAGUGGGUGCACCUGGGAGUGGUCUGCCCAGGGGUGAUGCUCUGGCCAGCCCAGGCUCAGCCAGGGGGCUCUGGGUGACAGUGUAGGCUCCAGGCUGAGGGUUGCCCUGCGGGGUGCCAACUCUCCUGCUAGUCCUGCCCUGUGUGCCUGCUGAGGCUCAGACAGGGAUGUGGUAUCUCCAGGAAGCUGCCUGGCAGAAUCGAGGGACCACGAAGGGGUGCGGGUAGGGGGAGGAGGAAAGACACUGCAUCUGCUUGGAUAGAAGUUGCAUCCGGCCAGGCACAAGUGGCUCACACCUGGAAUCUCACACUUUGGGAGGCUGAGGCAGGAGGAUUGCUUGAGGCCAGGAGUUCAAGACCAGCCUGGGCAACAGAGCGAGAUCCCCCAUCUCUAUAAAAAAAUCUGUAGUCCCAGCUACUCGGGAGGCUAAGGCUGGAGGAUCACUUGAACCCAGGAGUUAGAGGCUGCAGUGAGCUGUGAUCAUGCCACUGCACUCCAGCCUGGGCGGCACAGGGAGACCCCCAACCAAAAAACAACAAAAAAAGCUGCAUCCUAGACCCUUUGCAAGAGACUGAACGAGUCCUAGGAGUCAAUGUGGUCCCUAAUGGAGUGUGGACGAUUCUGCAGCCAUCAUCAUCCUUAGGCUGUUCCGCUCAUAGGAUUAGCUCCCUGGGUGGGGCGGUCUCAGGGUCUCUCCUCUGAUCCGGGCUCCCCACCGCCUGCCGGUCCCAUCACCCACUUCCUCACCCCGCCCCCCAGGUGGUUCAGUACAUCGGGGAGAUCUGCCGCUACCUGCUGAAGCAGCCGGUGCGCGAGGCGGAGAGGCGACACCGCGUGCGCCUGGCGGUGGGGAACGGGCUGCGUCCUGCCAUCUGGGAGGAGUUCACGGAGCGCUUCGGCGUACGCCAAAUCGGGGAGUUCUACGGCGCCACCGAGUGCAACUGCAGCAUUGCCAACAUGGACGGCAAGGUCGGCUCCUGUGGUUUCAACAGCCGCAUCCUGCCCCACGUGUACCCCAUCCGGCUGGUGAAGGUCAAUGAGGACACAAUGGAGCUGCUGCGGGAUGCCCAGGGCCUCUGCAUCCCCUGCCAGGCCGGGGAGCCUGGCCUCCUUGUGGGUCAGAUCAACCAACAGGACCCGCUGCGCCGCUUCGAUGGCUAUGUCAGCGAGAGCGCCACCAGCAAGAAGAUUGCCCACAGCGUCUUCAGCAAGGGCGACAGCGCCUACCUCUCAGGUGCGCAGCCUGCUAGGCCCCGGUGACUGGCUGUGCGGAUGGGGAUCCGCCACCCAUCUGCCCCUCUCCCCUCUGCCAGGUGACGUGCUAGUGAUGGAUGAGCUGGGCUACAUGUACUUCCGGGACCGUAGCGGGGAUACCUUCCGCUGGCGAGGAGAGAACGUCUCCACCACCGAGGUGGAGGGCGUGCUGAGCCGCCUGCUGGGCCAGACAGACGUGGCCGUCUAUGGGGUGGCUGUUCCAGGCAAGCUGGGGGUAAGGCAGGGAUGGCGGCCGUCGCAGACCCUCACAGCCUGCUGGACCCCAACGCGAUAUACCAGGAGCUGCAGAAGGUGCUGGCACCCUAUGCCCGGCCCAUCUUCCUGCGCCUCCUGCCCCAGGUGGACACCACAGGCACCUUCAAGAUCCAGAAGACGAGGCUGCAGCGAGAGGGCUUUGACCCACGCCAGACCUCAGACCGGCUCUUCUUCCUGGACCUGAAGCAGGGCCACUACCUGCCCUUAAAUGAGGCAGUCUACACCCGCAUCUGCUCGGGCGCCUUCGCCCUCUGAAGCUGUUCCUCUACUGGCCACAAACUCUGGGCCUGGUGGGAGAGGCCAGCUUGAGCCAGACAGCGCUGCCUAGGGGUGGCCGCCUACUACACACCCACCUGGCCGAGCUGUACCUGGCACGGCCCAUCCUGGACUGAGAAACUGGAACCUCAGAGGAACCCGUGCCUCUCUGCUGCCUUGGUGCCCCUGUGUCUGCCUCCUCUCCCUGCUUUUCACCCUCUGUCUCCUUCCAUCCCUGUCCCUGUCUGGCCUUAACUCUUCCCUCUUUUUCUUUUCUUUCUUUCUUUCUUUUUUUUUUAAGACAGAGUCUCACUCUGCUGCCCGGGCUAGAGUGCAGUGGUGGGAUCUCGGCUCACUGCAACCUCUGCCUCCUGGGGUUCAAGUGAUCCUCCCACCUCAGCCUCCUGAGUAGCUGGGAUUACAGGCACCCGCCACCACGUCCAGCUAAUUUUUAUAUUUCUAGUAGAGACGGGGUUUCACCAUGUUGGUCAGGCUGGUCUUGAACUCCUGACCUCAGGUGAUCCGCUGGCCUCGGCCUCCCAGAGUGCUGGGAUUAUAGGCGUGAGCCUCUGGCCCGGCCUUUCCUUUUUCCUCUCCUCUCCUGCCGAGAGUGGAACACGCGUGUCCUGGGAGCUGCAUCUUGUGUAGGGUCCAGCUGCUUUUGGGGACUGCAGGAAUCAUCUCCCCUGGGCCCUGGACUCGGACUGGGGCCUCCCCACCUCCCUCUCGGCUGUGCCUUACGGAGCCCCGAUCCAGGCCUCCUGUGGCUGUUGGGUUCCAGAUGCUGCAGCUCCAUGUGACUUCCAAGCAGGCCCUCCGCCCUCCCUGCUGAAUGGAGGAGCCGGGGGUCCCCCAGGCCAACUGGAAAAUCUCCCAGGCUAGGCCAAUUGCCUUUUGCACUUCCCCGUUCCUGUCACAUUUCCCCAGCCCCACCUUCCCCUCCUGAUGCCCUGAAAGCUUCCGGAAUUGACUGUGACCACUUGGAUGUCACCACUGUCAGCCCCUGCCUUGAUGUCCCCAUUUAGCCAUCUCCAUGGAGCUCCUGCUGGAGGGCCCUGAACCCUGCACUGCGUGGCUGCCCAGCCAGCUGCCUCCUGUCCUGGGAGGAGACCGCCUGGGUGUCCUCAUCUGGUGUGGCUACUGGAGGGUCCCACAGGAGAGGCAGCAGAGGGGUCAGGGGAGGUCUCCUGCCGGGGGUUGGCCUCUCAAGCCUCAGGGGUUCUAGCCUGUUGAAUAUACCCCACCUGGUGGUGGCCCCUCCGAUGUCCCCACUGAUGGCUCUGACACCGUGUUGGUGGCGAUGUCCCAGACAAUCCCACCAGGACGGCCCAGACAUCCCUACUGGCUUCGCUGGUGGCUCAUCUCGAACAUCCACGCCAGCCUUUCUGGGGCUGGCCACCGAGGCCGCCUGUCCGUCUGUCCUCCCUCCAGCAGCACCCCCUGGCCCCUGGAGUGGUGGGGCCAUGGGAAGAGACACCGUGGUGUCUCAUGUGAACUUUCCUGGGCACUGUGGUUUUAUUUCCUAAUUGAUUUAAGAAAUAAACCUGAAGACCGUC